GAGGGAGUUAAAUCUCUCCAGCCGGUGUU
rnacentral:piRNA from 1 species